GGCACCGCUCACGAUCUUAAGUCCUUUGCAGACAAAUCUUCAAACUGAGAAAAAGAAAGCCCACAACAUUUGUGACCUGUGUAGUUCCAGUAACAUCAGUUGGAUUUCUGUUACACUGUGGUUGAUCUGGAACAAUGUGGCCACUGCCU